GUGGUGGUGGCUCAGUUGGAAGAGUGUUUGCCUUGCAUGUGUGAGGUACUGGGUUUGAUCCUCAGCACCACA
rnacentral:tRNA from 1 species